AAGCUUAGGUUAAACAAAACCAGAGGCCUUCAAAGCCUCAAACAAGAGCACCAAACCCUCCUAGCUUCU
rnacentral:tRNA from 1 species